CGCCAUCACUCCUACGGGAGGCAGCAGUGGGGAAUAUUGCACAAUGGGCGCAAGCCUGAUGCAGCCAUGCCGCGUGUAUGAAGAAGGCCUUCGGGUUGUAAAGUACUUUCAGCAGUGAGGAAGGUGGUAGUGUUAAUAGCACUAUCAUUUGACGUUAGCUGCAGAAGAAGCACCGGCUAACUCCGUGCCAGCAGCCGCGGUAAUACGGAGGGUGCGAGCGUUAAUCGGAAUUACUGGGCGUAAAGCGCAUGCAGGUGGUUUGUUAAGUCAGAUGUGAAAGCCCGGGGCUCAACCUCGGAAUUGCAUUUGAAACUGGCAGACUAGAGUACUGUAGAGGGGGUAGAAUUUCAGGUGUAGCGGUGAAAAUGCGUAGAGAUCUGAAGGAAUACCGGUGGCGAAGGCGGCCCCCUGGACAGAUACUGACACUCAGAUGCGAAAGCGUGGGGAGCAAACAGGAUUAGAUACCCUGGUAG
rnacentral:rRNA from 1 species